rnacentral:rRNA from 1 species
GACGAACGCUGGCGGCGUGCUUAACACAUGCAAGUCGAACGGAAAGGCCCUGCUUUUGUGGGGUGCUCGAGUGGCGAACGGGUGAGUAACACGUGAGUAACCUGCCCUUGACUUUGGGAUAACUUCAGGAAACUGGGGCUAAUACCGGAUAGGAGCUCCUGCUGCAUGGUGGGGGUUGGAAAGUUUCGGCGGUUGGGGAUGGACUCGCGGCUUAUCAGCUUGUUGGUGGGGUAGUGGCUUACCAAGGCUUUGACGGGUAGCCGGCCUGAGAGGGUGACCGGCCACAUUGGGACGGAGAUACGGCCCAGACUCCUACGGGAGGAAGCAGUGGGGAAUAUUGCACAAUGGGCGGAAGCCUGAUGCAGCAACGCCGCGUGCGGGAUGACGGCCUUCGGGUUGUAAACCGCUUUCGCCUGUGACGAAGCGUGAGGGACGGUAAUGGGUAAAGAAGCACCGGCUAACUACGU